rnacentral:rRNA from 1 species
GACGGGGGGGGCAAGUGUUCUUCGGAAUCACUGGGCGUAAAGGGUGCGUAGGCGGGUUUUUAAGUCAGAGGUGAAAUCCUGGAGCUCAACUCCAGAACUGCCUUUGAUACUGAGAAUCUUGAGUAUGGGAGAGGUGAGUGGAACUGCGAGUGUAGAGGUGAAAUUCGUAGAUAUUCGCAAGAACACCAGUGGCGAAGGCGGCUCACUGGCCCAUAACUGACGCUGAGGCACGAAAGCGUGGGGAGCAAACAGG